rfam:Ancylostoma ceylanicum strain HY135 Acey_s0185_scaf, whole genome shotgun sequence.
GGAUGGCUCAACGGUAGAGCGGCAGACUAACGAUCUGACGCAUGCUGGUUCGAGCCCGGUGGAGAUCCA